CACCUCUGCCUCUGCUGCCCGCCUC
rnacentral:misc_RNA from 1 species